rnacentral:misc_RNA from 2 species
CAACCAUCAAGCCCUAUUUGCUUGGCGUUGGGAGACUUGUAGGUCUGGCCUGCAAGCUCCUGAAAUAGAUCGGCGGAGUCGUGGCGACCCUCAGCGUAGUAAUUCUUCUCGCUUUAGGUGUCGGCGCUGGCGUUUAGCCGUUAAACCCCCUAUUUCUUUUAG